AACAGAGUGGCAAGUUGGAUAAGAAACAUAAGACCUAUCUGUCUGCUGUUUUCAAGAGACCCACCUCACAUGUAACUACACUCAUAGGCUCAGCAUUAAGGGUUGGUGAAAGAUCUAUCAUGCAGACAGAAUCAAAAAGAGAUAAAGAUGAAACAGACUUUUAACCAGUAAUAGUCAAAAAGGAUAGAGCAGGCAUUACAUAAUGAUAAAGAAGUCAAUUCAACAAGAAGACUUAACUAUUCUAAAUAUAUGUGCACCCAAUAUUGGAGCACCCAGUUUCAAAAAACAAGUACUUCCAGACCUACAAAAAGACUUGAACAGUCACACAAUAAUAUUCAGGGGCUGCAAAACCCCACUGACAGCAUUAGGCAGAUCAUUCAGGCAUAAAAGUCACAAAGAAAUUCGGGACUUAAACUUGACACGUGACCAAUUGGACAUAAUAGUAGACAUCUACAGAACUCUCCACUCAUCAACCACAGAAUAUAAAUUCUUCUCAUCUGCACAUGGAAGAUGCUCCAAGAUUGACUACAUGCUUGGCCAUAAAAAUGUCUGAAUACAUUUUUUA